GAGCUCUGGUUUCUCUUCAGAUCAUAUAAAUCUUUCACCUUUUACUAAAGAUUUCUGUGGAGAGGAACAAGUACGAGUGUCAAAAAUUUUUUUGAGGCUCUACUUCAGUAUUUGAGG